rnacentral:snRNA from 1 species
GAUACAGAGAGGAUUAGCAUGGCCCCUGGGCAAGGAUGACACGCAAAUUCUUGAAGCAUUCCAUAUUUU